CCCCUGUGCUGCAAAGAGAGCAUUACCUUUCUCAUAUUCCAGAAGCCCUUCAUCUUUGACAGGGACAAGAACUCCACUGGGGACUACCAGUUCUCUGUUGGCAAUACCAUCAACAGGUGUGCUCUGCCUGGGUGGUGACGUGGAGGUAAUACAGCAGUGUGUGAGCGAGGGCAGGAUAUCCCUACAAGCCCUCAGUCCUCGUCCCCAGAGUGUGAAGGUCGCUGGCUCCUGGGUAAAUUUCCAUCGGAUGCGGCACUCUCCCCUUGCGACUCAGCAUUUCUGACAGCCGACUGCAGCUCCUCAUUCUCAUUUGAUCAUUUUCUUGGAAGCUAUCAAGUGGAUUCCAAGAAUGUGGUCAAUCUGACCCAGCUCCUUCAGAUUCAUUUGUCUCAUGAUAAAAAGUAUAGACAGAAUACACCAGGUGUACAGAAGAAGAUAAAGAGUUCAGAUGUCUAUGUGGAACCACUGUGGGCCUUGGGAAAAUUAGAAUAUACUAGAGUUGUGCCUUCCAAAUCUAGAGCCAAAUUCUCCUCUGCAUGAACUCACAGACACCAGCCAACCAGAAAGAGGCCUGCAUGACAACAAGUAUCAAAAGAAAAAAGACGUAACAAAACAGGAUGUCACAGUGGAACCAGACAACCCAAAUCAAACUCCACCAAGAAGACCCCAGUGGGCAGCAGGCUCUCCGGUUUGCAGAGACAUCUACCUUCAGCUGUCUUUCCACCCAGCUCAUUCUUCGUCUCAAAAUUGUGUUUGUCAUUCCCUGGUUACCAUUUGAUCCAGCUGACAGAUGCCAUCCUCUUUAGCACGAUCAGCUGAGGUCUGGUGUUUGUUUCCCUCUUCAGCAAGAGCAGAUGAACCAGGUCCUGGCCUGUGGAAAACACAAGACAUAGCAUUGAGGGGCAGGCUGUCUG